UAAAAUCUAGUUUUCCCUCCCCUGUCUCUCACACGCAGCGGCCGCAGCGGCGGUGGCCAAGCACUCGCUCGCACGCAUCGACCGAGCGCUCGCGCAACUACCCAUCGUGUCGCCGUGGAAGGCCAGUGCGGCGGCAUCGACGACGACUGGGACGCGCUCACGCGUCCGCGUGUGCGCCCGUGUGCCCGUGCGCCAUCCACAACCGGCGACCCAUGCUCGAGCUCGCGGUGGAUCCAACGGUCGUAGGCGUGAUGCGGCGGCGGGAGGCGAGAUCCAGCCAUGCCCUCCCCAACCUCUCCCUCACCCAGGACGUGUUGAAAGUUGCGACAAGUAAGAAGGGAAGUGAGGGACAUGGGAGCUACAUAUUGUUUCAAGGAACUUAAAGGUGCCGUUGGAGUGAUGGACAACUUCCUAGAAGCAGUCUACUCUGACCGUAACACUAAUGCAUGUGCAGCAAGAAAAUAUAGCAAGUUUGGUCAUUUUAGGAGAUUACUUUUUAUAAUUCUUAGAUUGAUGGAUUUUAUUUUGUUGGAUAAUGUGAGCUAUGAUGCGCAAGAAUGUGUAAAUUACAAAAUCUGCAACGUGUGAAUAUCGUCAUGUGAUAAUUAUUGUGCUAAACUUUUAUGGGCUAAAA